rnacentral:rRNA from 1 species
UACGGAGGGUGCAAGCGUUAAUCGGAAUUACUGGGCGUAAAGCGCACGUAGGUGGUUUUCUAAGUCAGCUGUGAAAUCCCCGGGCUCAACCUGGGACUUGCAGUUGAAACUGGAAAGCUAGAGUAGGGUAGAGGGGUGUGGAAUUCCAGGUGUAGCGGUGAAAUGCGUAGAUAUCUGGAGGAACACCGGUGGCGAAGGCGGCAUCCUGGACCGGCAUUGACGCUGAGGCGCGAAAGCCAGGGGAGCAAACGGG